rnacentral:lncRNA from 1 species
ACGGGAAAAGUCAUAACUCUCAAACACCAAAUCUGGCCAAAUCCCAUAUCCCUGCAACCUUCAAAGAUGUGGUGUUCGUAAUUGAGUUUGUGUUGGAGCAAACAAGUAAUCUAUUUUAUUCAUAACUGAUUCUUGUAUGUUUAUUAAGGAUGCAUACUUAGUUUUCAUGCAUGAAUUAGAUGCUAGAAUAUAAAUGAGUUUCACCUAAUCGUUACAAGUUUAUAUUCAUGAGUAGUGAACGUUGUCUAUCACAAUCACGUUAAUUGAAUUCUUGGCAAUUGUAUCAUGCAUUCAUAGUUAUAAUUGCCUCGUCAACACUUA